rnacentral:rRNA from 1 species
CGGGGGAGCAAGCGUUGUUCGGAUUUACUGGGCGUAAAGGGCGCGUGGGCGGCCGCCGCAAGUCGACUGUGAAAUCUCCGGGCUUAACCCGGAAAGGUCAGCCGAUACUGCGGGGCUAGAGUGCAGAAGGGGCAACUGGAAUUCUCGGUGUAGCGGUGAAAUGCGUAGAUAUCGAGAGGAACACCUGCGGCGAAGGCGGGUUGCUGGGCUGACACUGACGCUGAGGCGCGAAAGCUAGGGGAGCGAACGGGAUUAGAUACCCCGGUAGUCCUAGCCUUAAACGAUGAAUGCUUGGUGUCUGGGGUUUUAUAGUCCCCGGGUGCCGUCGCUAACGCUUUAAGCAUUCCGCCUGGGGAGUACGGUCGCAAGACUG